GCGUCUGUAGCCUAGUUGGUAAAGGCAGCACUCUAGUAUAGCUAAGGUUGUGAGUUCAACUAUCACCAGACACA
rnacentral:tRNA from 1 species